rnacentral:rRNA from 1 species
UUGACUCUAAAUAGGUCUGGAAUAAGGGGUGGGUAAGGACGGUGCCAGCCGCCGCGGUAAUACCGGCGCCUCAAGUGGUAGUCGCUUUUAUUGGGCCUAAAACGUCCGUAGCCGGUCUGAUACAUUCGUGGGUAAAUCAACCAGCUCAACUGGUUGAAUUCUGCGAGGACGGUCAGACUUGGGACCUGGAGAGGUGUGGGGUACGCUCAGGGUAGGGGUAAAAUCCUGUCAUCCUGAGCGGACCACCUGUUGCGAAGGCGCCACACUAGAACGGAUCCGACGGUCAGGGACGAAGCCUAGGGGCACGAACCGGAUUAGAUACCCGGGUAGUCCUAGGUGUAAACGCUGUGAACUUGGUGUCGGGAGUCCGCAAUGGGCCCCCGGUGCCGGAGUGAAGAUGUUAAGUUCACUGCCUGGGGAGUACGGUCGCAAGGCUGAAACUUAAAGGAAUUGGCGGGGGAGCACUGCAACGGGAGGAGCGUGCGGUUUAAUUGGAGUCAACGCCGGAAAUC